rnacentral:rRNA from 1 species
UACGUAGGCAGCAAGCGUUGUUCGGAAUUACUGGGCGUAAAGAGUGUGUAGGCGGUGUUCUAAGUUUGUCGUGAAAUCUCCCGGGCUUAACUGGGAGGGUGCGGCGAAAACUGGAAUGCUAGAGGAUGGGAGAGGUAAGCGGAAUUCCUGGUGUAGCGGUGAAAUGCGUAGAUAUCAGGGAGGAACACCCUGUGGUGUAGACGCUUACUGGGACCAUUUCUGACGUGAGACACGAAAGCGUGGGUAGCAAACAGG